UACGUAGGGACCAAGCGUUGUCCGGAUUUAUUGGGCGUAAAGAGCUCGUAGGCGGUUUGUCGCGUCGGCCGUGAAAUCUCCACGCUUAACGUGGAGCGUGCGGUCGAUACGGGCAGACUUGAGUUCGGUAGGGGAGACUGGAAUUCCUGGUGUAGCGGUGAAAUGCGCAGAUAUCAGGAGGAACACCGGUGGCGAAGGCGGGUCUCUGGGCCGAUACUGACGCUGAGGAGCGAAAGCGUGGGGAGCGAACAGG
rnacentral:rRNA from 1 species